AAAGUCGUAACAAGGUUUCCGUAGGUGAACCUGCGGAAGGAUCAUUGACAAAUCUAAACAACACACACAUACUAACCUGUGAAUCGGCGCUCUUCCCAGCUAGCUGCUAGGAGACUGCUUUUGGUAAGGGCAGGUGCAUGGGCAUGAGACGUUCGCGUCCCUUACCCUCACCUUCUACUGCCACACAUUUACGCAACUGUCUUACACAACAACAAAACAAAACAAAACAACUUUUAGCAAUGGAUCUCUUGGCUUCU
rnacentral:misc_RNA from 1 species